UACAGAGGUCUCAAGCGUUGUUCGGAUUCAUUGGGCGUAAAGGGCUCGUAGGUGGCCAACUAAGUCAUACGUGAAAUCCCUCGGCUUAACCGGGGAACUGCGUCUGAUACUGGAUGGCUUGAGGUUGGGAGAGGGAUGCGGAAUUCCAGGUGUAGCGGUGAAAUGCGUAGAUAUCUGGAGGAACACCGGUGGCGAAGGCGGCAUCCUGGACCAAUUCUGACACUGAGGAGCGAAAGCCAGGGGAGCAAACGGG
rnacentral:rRNA from 1 species